AGCGAACGCUGGCGGCAGGCUUAACACAUGCAAGUCGAGCGGGCCCUUCGUGCUCAUCUGCGGACGUGUGAUUGACGCGUGGGAACUUGCCCUUCGGUUCGGAAUAACUCAGUGAAACUUGAGCUAAUACCGGAUACGCCCUUAUCGGGUAAGGCUUGCUGCCGAAUGAUCGGCCCGCGUCUGAUUAGGUGGUUGGUGAGGUUAUGGCUCAGCAAGGCGACGAUCAGUAGCUGGUCUGAGAGGAUGCUCAUCCACGCUGGGAAUGCGACACGGACCAGACUGCGACGGGAGGGAGGAGUGGGGAAUACUGGAGAAUGGAGGCAAAUGUGACAACGCCACGCCGCGUGAGUGAUGCCGGCGUUAGGGAUGUAAAGCUCUUUUCUCCGGGACGAUAAUGACGGUAACGGAGGAAUAAGCACCGGCUAACUUCGUG
rnacentral:rRNA from 1 species